GACGAACGCUGGCGGCGUGCUUAACACAUGCAAGUCGAACGGAAAGGCCCUGCUUGCCGGGUACUCGAGUGGCGAACGGGUGAGUAACACGUGGGUGAUCUGCCCUGCACUUCGGGAUAAGCCUGGGAAACUGGGUCUAAUACCGGAUAGGAGCCAUUUUUAGUGUGAUGGUUGGAAAGUUUUUUCGGUGUAGGAUGAGCUCGCGGCCUAUCAGCUUGUUGGUGGGGUAAUGGCCUACCAAGGCGGCGACGGGUAGCCGGCCUGAGAGGGUGGGCGGCCACAUUGGGACUGAGAUACGGCCCAGACUCCUACGGGAGGCAGCAGUGGGGAAUAUUGCACAAUGGGCGCAAGCCUGAUGCAGCGACGCCGCGUGGGGGAUGACGGCCUUCGGGUUGUAAACUCCUUUCGCUAGGGACGAAGCUUUUUGUGACGGUACCUAGAUAAGAAGCACCGGCUAACUACGUG
rnacentral:rRNA from 1 species